rnacentral:rRNA from 1 species
GACGAACGCUGGCGGCGUGCUUAACACAUGCAAGUCGAACGGUGACCCAGGGCUUGCCCUGGUGAUCAGUGGCGAACGGGUGAGUAACACGUGGGCAACCUGCCCCUGACUUCGGGAUAACUCCUCGAAAGAGGAGCUAAUACCGGAUACGACCACUUCGGACAUCCGAUGGUGGUGGAAAGUUUUUCGGUCAGGGAUGGGCCCGCGGCCUAUCAGCUAGUUGGUGGGGUAAUGGCCUACCAAGGCGACGACGGGUAGCCGGCCUGAGAGGGCGACCGGCCACACUGGGGCUGAGACACGGCCCAGACUCCUACGGGAGGCAGCAGUGGGGAAUAUUGCGCAAUGGGCGAAAGCCUGACGCAGCGACGCCGCGUGAGGGAUGAAGGCCUUCGGGUUGUAAACCUCUUUCAGCAGGGACGAAGCGAAAGUGACGGUACCUGCAGAAGAAGCACCGGCUAACUACGUGCCAGCAGCCGCGGUAAU